rnacentral:lncRNA from 1 species
GAUGGCUUUUUAUCCUUAUAUGUGUGGAAGUAUAUGACAGUAAUGGAUCUCUUUAUUAUUUAGUUAUCUAAGUGUUCUCUUUCAGCUUCAGAGAAAAGAAAGACAAAGGUUUCAUCUGUGUAGAAGGUGCUCAGUGGAAUGUUUUACCAGCUUGAACUGCAACUAUUUCCAUAUAAGAGCAGUGGAUUGCUUCUAUAUGAGACCAGAGUUUGUUCGGAGGUGAGUACCAUCUUCAGUGACUAGAAUAUUGCCUGGCGCACUGUCCUCAAGACACUCGAUAUAUUUUUUGUUAAACUACUUGACUAAAGCAACUUUGUAUUUUAAUAUAGGAAUUCCAAAGAGCCAAUAAAGAGAAUUCAUCAAGCUCUCUGAAUUGUAUG